UGUUGAUUGAUGCAUCGUAAUGUCCGAGUACUGCAUGCUGAGAGAUUAAAUACUGUUUAUACAGUCAUUGAGAGGCUAAACAAAGUUUCUUGCAAGAAGAGGAAGUUGGUGGAUGCAUUCAAGUUGGACAACGAAAUCAUAGUUUCGUUUGGCAUCAGCCUGAAGACCGAGGGAGGUUAGAUAGGACCAGUGCAGGAUGAAGUGGAUUUCGAGUCAACAAGUAUAACAGCAAGAGAGGUACUCCAUUUACAGUGAUGAUGACAUAUCCCCUGGACCCCCACAACUCCACAAAUUUAAAAAUGUUUGAUCAAGUUCCGAAGAUUAAAGAACUACUGCAAAAUUUGGAACUGGAUGAAAAAUAUUAAUUCACUUAUAUGAGCUCAGAGCAGUGGAUGUUAUACAACAUACUUUAAACUAAAUUGUGAA